rnacentral:rRNA from 1 species
AAAAACAUGUCUUUUUGUUUAUGAUUUAAGGUUUGACCUGCCCAAUGAUUAUUAUUAAAUGGCUGCAGUAUUUUGACUGUACAAAGGUAGCAUAAUCAUUAGUUUCUUAAUUAGAAGCUGGUAUGAAUGGUUUGAUGAGAAAUUUACUGUCUCAAUUUAAUUGGUUUAGAAUUUUAUUUUUAAGUGAAAAAGCUUAAAUUUUUUAAUAAGACGAGAAGACCCUAUAGAGUUUUACAUAAUAAUAAUUUUUUAUUGAUGAUUUUAAUAUUUUUUAUUUUUUAUUGUGUUUUGUUGGGGUGAUGCGAAAAUUUUUUUAACUUUUCUUUAUUUUAACACUAAUUAGUGAGUUUAUGAUCCUUUUUGGAUUAUAAGAUUAAAUUACCUUAGGGAUAACAGCGUAAUUUUUUUUGAAAGCUCUUAUUGAUAAAAAAGUUUGCGACCUCGAUGUUGGAUUAAAGUUUAUUUUUGGUGUAGGAGCUAGAAAAUUAGGUCUGUUCGACC